AUUUCUGCUUGGAGAUUGCCUUCUGUGGGGUGUUUGGUGAGUUCUAAUCUUCAGAAAGGGGUUGUACUUCAGGUACCUGGGGCUCUAGACAGCCUGACCUAGUGGAGUCUGUCUCUUGCCCGUGGCACGGGUGUUGGAACUGGAUGAUCUUUAACAUCUUUUCAGAUCAAAAAAUGUUAUGAUUCCCAGAACUUAGGCAAUAGUCAUUGGAGCAGUAAAUCACUCUUAUCACAGUUACCAGAAGUCUCAGUUACCCAUACAGGAGGAAAGUUUAGAUUCAUUUACAGUGAAUCCCUCAAACAGGAGUGAGUCCUAAUCAACCAUAAAAACUGGAGGCUGGAUUUCUUGCUGUGAAAAGGUGCCAAGCCAUUUUCUUUGAAAAUUUUGAUUGGUAAAAAUCCAAAACGUUGUAUUAAAAGAGUAAGGUGUCCUUCUUUAAAGUCUUUAAAUACAGCUGUCUGUCAUGAAGUGUACUUGCUGCUAAAAUCUGAAUCACUUUGAGCCUACACAGACACCCAAGAUGAUCUUUAUCUGAAAUAGUCUCUGCAGAGUCACUAUCUGUAGAUCACUGUUUCUGAUUUUUUUACACAGGCUUUAAAGCAAGUAUUGAAAGGAGGUGCACUUUUUUCCUACAGCUGGUCAUAGACUGUUUCAUUUGGAAGGAUUUUACAAAGUAUUCUACUAUUAGUUGGUCACUUAGUACCUGAAGGAUAUCUUAGGCUUGAGUUGAUGGACCUCAGUCUUUCCCAUCUAAUAAACAGCGUUAAUAUCCCCAAAAUGUUUGCAGAUAUGAAAAGAUCUUGGUAGUGGAAAGACUGCUGGAGAGCAAGCAGAGCAAAUACUAACUUAAAAUGAGGUUUUCUUGAAUCAAGAUUUAACCUUACCAGGUAUAGAAGUGAAACUUAAAGUUUCAUUCUAAUUUUGCUUCUGGCAUCACAGUUUUGGAAUGCAACCUCAACAAAGAGAAUUGGAUAAAAUACCUCUUUGAGAUUUUUCAAGAAUUCCUAAAAUCCUUGUAUUUCUAAUUAUUAGUUCAUUCACAAUCUCAUUAAUCUGGUUACCAAGAGACUGUUUUUUGUUCUCUCAUCCCAAGAAACAAUUUCUUGCAAUUUUCUGCAUUUAUUUAUUUUUUAAAAUAUUACUAUUCCAACACGUUAAUCAGAAUCACGGAGUCAUCUAAGUUGGAAAACACCUGGAAGAUCAUCUAGUAGUUCCUUACAUCCUUUCUUAUAUGUCCAAGCAAUCAAUUUCGGUAAAGGAUUUCUGCAAAAUGUUUAUGUAAGAAAUCUGUGAAGUGUUUACUGUCAGCUUCUGAAAUUGUAUUUCUGCCUUCAGGCUUCAGUUAGCAGUAGAAAUCAUUAAAGAAGUUUUACAGAAUAAAAAGCAAAAGCCUUUGUUAAUGCAAAUUUGAAAUAAGAUUCUGGUCAUUGAAAACCCGCAAGUUAAUGCAGAGAUUCAAACUCACUGAUGGCACUGAAUUAUGAUACUCGAUGUAAAACCUUAAUACUGAACUGCUGUACCCUGACUAUUUGUAUUAAACUAUUAGAAAUUAAUC
ensembl:lncRNA